rnacentral:rRNA from 1 species
GCCUACGGGGGGCAGCAGUGGGGAAUAUUGCGCAAUGGGCGAAAGCCUGACGCAGCGACGCCGCGUGAGGGAUGAAGGUCUUCGGAUCGUAAACCUCUGUCAGCAGGGAAGAACGGUCACUGUGCUAAUCAGCAGUGAAUUGACGGUACCUGCAAAGGAAGCACCGGCUAACUCCGUGCCAGCAGCCGCGGUAAUACGGAGGGUGCGAGCGUUAAUCGGAAUUACUGGGCGUAAAGCGCUCGUAGGCCGUAUGUCAAGUCAAGGGUGAAAUCCCCGCGCUCCACGUGGGAACUGCCUUUGAAACU